UACAGAGGGUGCUAGCGUUGUUCGGAAUCAUUGGGCGUAAAGGGCGUGUAGGCGGUUUGUUAAGUCAUGUGUGAAAUCCCUCGGCUCAACCGAGGAAAGACGCAUGAAACUGGCAAGCUAGAGUACCGAAGAGGGGGGUGGAAUUCCCGGUGUAGCGGUGAAAUGCGUAGAUAUCAGGAGGAACACCGGUGGCGAAGGCGGGUCUCUGGGCCGAUACUGACGCUGAGGAGCGAAAGCAUGGGUAGCGAACAGG
rnacentral:rRNA from 1 species